rnacentral:rRNA from 1 species
UACGAAGGGGGCGAGCGUUGUUCGGAAUCACUGGGCGUAAAGCGUGCGUAGGCGGCGAUGAAAGUUAGAAGUGAAAGCCCAGGGCUCAACCUUGGAAUUGCUUUUAAAACUACAUCGCUCGAAUCUCGGAGAGGAUAGCGGAAUUGUCAGUGUAGCAGUGAAAUGCGUAGAUAUUGACAGGAACACCAGUGGCGUAAGCGGCUAUCUGGACGAGUAUUGACGCUGAGGCACGAAAGCGUGGGGAUCAAACAGG